rnacentral:rRNA from 1 species
AGCGGGAAAAGCCCACAUUGGUAAUCUCUACGCGAAAGUGUAGCGAAUUGUAAUCUGAAAUUGGCUAGUCUAACUGAACAGAACUUUCAAGUGCGCACGAGCGCGCCGCCAGAGAAGGUGAGAGCCCUGUACGGAGUUUUGUUCUACAAAGGCUGGUUAAUAAAGAGUCGUGUACUUUGAUACUAGUGCACUAAGCGGGAGAUAAACUUCUUCUAAGGCUAAAUACAAGUAGGAAACCGAUAGCGAACAAGUACUGUGAAGGAAAGAUGAAAAGCACUUUGGAAAGAAAGUUAAAAGACUUGAAAUCGUUGAGGCGGACCCGGUAGAAAUGUAUUCUAGCGAAGCGCUCUGGGAAGCCUGUAAUCGGGCCACUUGAGCGCAAGCCGAGACAAGAUGGAGUCGCACGAUGCCAGAGGGCGUGCGCGAGGGAGCUUGCUCCAGCGCGUGCUGUCCGGGUGUCGGGCGGCUUGAGGGGCCUUGCGCGAUCUUGUCAAAAUGGUUUUUACCGACUCGUCUUGAAACACGAACCAAGGAGUCUAAGACUAACGCGAGUAUGGUGGUGGAGAAACCAACAUGCGAAAUGAAAGUAAAUGAUGCCAAGCACCCUGCAGCAUCGACCGACCACUUUCUCUUGGAAGAGGUUUGAGUAAGAGCGUUAUUCUUAGGACCCGAAAGAUGGUGAAACUAU